UGGCUCAGUUGGUAGAGCAUGGUGUUUGCAAAGCCAAGGUUGUGGGUUCGAUUCCCAC
rfam:Salmo salar isolate Sally breed double haploid chromosome ssa21, whole genome shotgun sequence.